rnacentral:rRNA from 1 species
CCUGCCCACUGGAAUAUUUUAAAUGGCCGCAGUAAUUUGACUGUGCAAAGGUAGCAUAAUCAUUAGUUUUUUAAUUAAAAGCUUGUAUGAAGGGUUGGACGAGAUAAAAUCUGUCUUUAUUUAAAUAAUAUUAGAAUUUAAUUUUUAGUUAAAAAGCUUAAAUUUAUGUAAAAGACGAGAAGACCCUAUAGAUCUUUAUAUUAUUAUAAUUUAAUUUUAAUUAAGAAUAUUUAAUUUUUUAUUUUUAUAUAAUAUUUUAUUGGGGUAAUAAAAAGAUUUAAUUAAUUCUUUUUGAUAUUUUACAUUGAUUAAUGAAUUUAUGAUCCAUAUUUUAUGAUUAUAAGAUUAAGUUACCUUAGGGAUAACAGCGUAAUUUUUUUAGAGAGUUCAUAUCGAUAAAAAAGUUUGCGACCUCGAUGUUGGAUUAAAAAUUGUUUUAGGCGCAGAAGUUUAAAAAUUUGGUCUGUUCGACCAUUAAAUUUUUACAUGAUCUGAGUUCAGACCGGUGUAAGCCAGGUUGGUUUCUAUCUUUAUAUAUUUUAUAAUAUUUUAGUACGAAAGGACCAAAUAUUUAAUAUAUUAAUAUUUAUAUUUUUGAAUAUUAUU